UGGUAUCGAAAUUGGCAUCGAGAAUCGUGUUAUUUUAAUGGUAUUGGCACCGACUACUGAAUUUUUGGUAUUGUGACACCCCUAGCGAGAAGACAUGAGGUCGAACCAGUGGUCUACCUGCUCUAGGAGCCAUGCUGUUGUCCGGUAAGAGGUGGGUCGUUGUUCCUUCUCAACCAUAUAUUUCAGGCCAGCACUUGUUGCCUUGCUGAAAACAUUUAGUGCAGGGCCUACCUUCAUCUUGUCAAAAUGACUGGGCUGAAGGGUUUUCAUUGACACAUUUGGAGCAAUUUUGAAAGCCAUCCCCUCUUGAAAAUGAACCAAAUCUUUCAGUGGACCGACUGAAGCUUCAUUGGAGGGAAGGUUCUCCCUCUCAAACGUAUCCGGUGGAAUUAUGAACGUCUGUCCGCGGACCAGGGCACUCUUCAAGUUCUUCACCAGGUGUGGGACAUCUGGCAUGAAGUGUAGCCUCCUGUCUGGUCUUGUUGGAUGUGGGACAGACGUUUUGUUGUGGUCCACACCAAAGGCCUUCCACAUUGCCCGAUUAGGACUGCCCAUGUCAGUGGUGACGUUAAUCACAUGUAGCCCGAUAGAAUCUGCUCUGUGAAUAAUGUCCAAGACAAUAGGUAACGUCACAUCCCCAUACAGCUUCCCUGUUCCCAGGUGCAGCUCCACGCUUGGAGUGAUUGACAUCUCAUCCACAGGUUCUGAUGUCAGGGAGAGGAAUCGACAUGUCCUGUAGAAGUUUGUAGCCGGUUGAGCCAGUAGCAAAACUCUUUAUCACUGUACCCUGGCUCACUUGGACACUGGGCAC